rnacentral:rRNA from 1 species
UACGUAGGGUGCGAGCGUUUAAUCGGAAUUACUGGGCGGUAAAGCGUGCGCAGGCGGUUCGAGAAGUCAGCUGUGAAAGCCCCGGGCUUAACCUGGGAAUGGCGGUUGAAACUCUCGGACUAGAAUCUGGCAGAGGGGGGUGGAAUUCCACGUGUAAGCAGUGAAAUGCGUAGAGAUGUGGAGGAACACCGAUGGCGAAGGCAGCCCCCUGGGCUGAGAUUGACGCUCAGGCACGAAAGCGUGGGGAGCAAACAGG